AGUGAAAGAAGGAAAGAAGAAAGGAAAGAAGAGUGAAGAAAGGAAAGGAGUGGAAGAAGGAAAGAAGAAAAGAAAGAGGAGUGAAAGAAGGAAAGAAGAAAGGAAAGAAGAGUGGAAGAAGGAAAAAAGAAGGAAAGAAGAGCGAAGAAAUGAAAGAAGAGUGGAAGAAGGAAAGAAGAAAAGAAAGAAGAGUGAAAGAAGGAAAGAAGAGUGGAAGAAGGAAAGAAGAGUGGAAGAAGAGUGGAAGAAGGAAAGAAGAAAGGAAAGAAGAGUAAAGUAAGGAAAGAAGAGUGGAAGAAGGAAAGAAGAGUGGAAGAAGGAAAGAAGAGUUGAAGAAGGAAAGAAGAAAGGAAAGAAGAGUGAAGAAAGGAAAGAAGAGUAGAAGAAGGAAAGAAGAAAAGAAAGAAGGGAAAGAAGAAAGGAAAGAAGAGUGGAAGAAGGAAAGAAAAAAGAAAGAAGAGUGGAAGAAGGAAAGAAGAGUGGAAGAAGGAAAGAAGAAAGAAAAGAAGAGUGAAGAAAGGAAAGAAGAGUGGAAGAAGGAAAGAAGAGUGGAAGAAGGAAAGAAGAGAGAGUGAAGAGGGAAAAUAUUGAAAGAAGGAGAGAAAAUGGAGUCAAGCAGAGAGAUGGAGUGUGAGAGAAAGUAGAGUGAGAGGGAUAGAGAGAAAGAUAGAGAAAAAAAAGUAGAGAAUGGAAGGUGUCUCUUAAUAUUCCUAGUUAUACAGUUGAAUGGAGAGGGACAGAGAGAAGAGGAGCCUUGGAACCUUGGCGCAGGUGUCAGUGAAGCACAGGUGCAAGCCAGUUUAAUGACCCUAUUAUGAUGUCAUAAUGGCCCAAUGUAAGUCAAUGGGAGAAAUUGUAUUAGUUUUUCUUUAAUAUUUUAAAAAGUAUAAAGUUUAGAAAAAUGAAAAAUACAUAGCAUAAGUGUCCUUUACAAGACCUACGCGCCAAAGUUUGAACGAAGUUUUUAAGUUAAGCGGUUCGAGCUGAAUUAAGCGCAGAAGUUCGGUAAAGAGAAUAAUAAGAAGAAGAAGAAUAAGAAGCCUAGGAAUAACAAUACAGGGCAUUUCAU
ensembl:lncRNA